GAUGAAGAACGUAGCGAAAUGUGAUAAGUAAUGUGAAUUGCAGAAUUCAGUGAAUCAUCGAAUCUUUGAACGCACAUUGCGCCCGCCAGUAUUCUGGCGGGCAUGCCUGUUCGAGCGUCAUUUCAACCAUCAAGCCCCCGGGCUUGUGUUGGGGACCUGCGGCUGCCGCAGGCCCUGAAAAGCAGUGGCGGGCUCGCUGUCACACCGAGCGUAGUAGCAUACAUCUCGCUCUGGGCGUGCUGCGGGUUCCGGCCGUUAAACUACCCUUUUAACCCAAGGUUGACCUCGGAUCAGGUAGGAAGACCCGCUGAACUUAAGCAUAUCAAUAAGCGGAGGA
rnacentral:misc_RNA from 1 species